GGGGGUAUUUGAUCGGAUCAUAUUUAUAUAUAUUUUUACUUCAAAUUCACUCGUCUUUUCUUAGUUAGUUCCUUAUAUUUUUGAGCUAUUUACGUUAUUUUUGUGUUUAUAGGAUUUGUUAUGCAAAGAAAAUAAAAAUAGAACAAGUUAAAUUUUAUGUAAUAAAUUCGUCAAAAGCAAAUUUAAAUUACAAUAUUGCUAAUCCAUUGUGACGCUAAAUGAUAAACCAAUAUUUAAACUUUAUAUUUCAUCCUUUUAUAUGUCUUCUCUUGUCUAAUUUAGUUGGAAGCUUUAAGUAUUUAUGAUACUUUUGAU
rnacentral:lncRNA from 1 species